UACGAAGGGGGCUAGCGUUGUUCGGAAUUACUGGGCGUAAAGGGCGCGUAGGCGGGUGUGCAAGUCUGUGGUGAAAGCCUCCAGCUUAACUGGAGAAGUGCCAUGGAUACUGCACAUCUUGAGGAGGGUAGGGGCAUCUGGAACGGUCGGUGGAGCGGUGAAAUGCGUUGAUAUCGACCGGAACUCCGGUGGCGAAGGCGAGGUGCUGGACCCUUUCUGACGCUGAGGCGCGAAAGCCAGGGGAGCAAACGGG
rnacentral:rRNA from 1 species